rnacentral:rRNA from 1 species
GGUUAAGUUAGAAAGGGCGCACGGUGGAUGCCUUGACACUAGGAGUCGAUGAAGGACGGGACUAACGCCGAUAUGCUUCGGGGAGCUGUAAGUAAGCUUUGAUCCGAAGAUUUCCGAAUGGGGAAACCCACCAUACGUAAUGGUAUGGUAUCCUUAUCUGAAUACAUAGGGUAAGGAAGACAGACCCAGGGAACUGAAACAUCUAAGUACCUGGAGGAAGAGAAAGCAAAUGCGAUUUCCUGAGUAGCGGCGAGCGAAACGGAACAUAGCCCAAACCAAGAGGCUUGCCUCUUGGGGUUGUAGGACAUUCUAUACGGAGUUACAAAGGAACGAGGUAGACGAAGCGACCUGGAAAGGUCCGUCGUAGAGGGUAACAACCCCGUAGUCGAAACUUCGUUCUCUCUUGAAUGUAUCCUGAGUACGGCGGAACACGUGAAAUUCCGUCGGAAUCUGGGAGGACCAUCUCCCAAGGCUAAAUACUCCCUAGUGAUCGAUAGUGAACCAGUACCGUGAGGGAAAGGUGAAAAGCACCCCGGAAGGGGAGUGAAAGAGAUCCUGAAACCGUGUGCCUACAAAUAGUCAGAGCCCGUUAACGGGUGAUGGCGUGCCUUUUGUAGAAUGAACCGGCGAGUUACGAUCCCGUGCGAGGUUAAGCUGAAGAGGCGGAGCCGCAGCGAAAGCGAGUCUGAAUAGGGCGUUUAGUACGUGGUCGUAGACCCGAAACCAGGUGAUCUACCCAUGUCCAGGGUGAAGUUCAGGUAACACUGAAUGGAGGCCCGAACCCACGCACGUUGAAAAGUGCGGGGAUGAGGUGUGGGUAGCGGAGAAAUUCCAAUCGAACCUGGAGAUAGCUGGUUCUCCCCGAAAUAGCUUUAGGGCUAGCCUUAAGUGUAAGAGUCUUGGAGGUAGAGCACUGAUUGGACUAGGGGUCCUCAUCGGAUUACCGAAUUCAGUCAAACUCCGAAUGCCAAUGACUUAUCCUUAGGAGUCAGACUGCGAGUGAUAAGAUCCGUAGUCAAAAGGGAAACAGCCCAGACCGCCAGCUAAGGUCCCAAAGUGUGUAUUAAGUGGAAAAGGAUGUGGAGUUGCUUAGACAACUAGGAUGUUGGCUUAGAAGCAGCCACCAUUUAAAGAGUGCGUAAUAGCUCACUAGUCGAGUGACUCUGCGCCGAAAAUGUACCGGGGCUAAAUACACCACCGAAGCUGCGGAUUGAUACCAAUGGUAUCAGUGGUAGGGGAGCGUUCUAAGGACAGUGAAGUCAGACCGUAAGGACUGGUGGAGUGCUUAGAAGUGAGAAUGCCGGUAUGAGUAGCGAAAGACGGGUGAGAAUCCCGUCCACCGAAUGCCUAAGGUUUCCUGAGGAAGGCUCGUCCGCUCAGGGUUAGUCAGGACCUAAGCCGAGGCCGACAGGCGUAGGCGAUGGACAACAGGUUGAUAUUCCUGUACCACCUCUUUAUCGUUUGAGCAAUGGAGGGACGCAGAAGGAUAGAAGAAGCGUGCGAUUGGUUGUGCACGUCCAAGCAGUUAGGCUGAUAAGUAGGCAAAUCCGCUUAUCAUAAAGGCUGAGCUGUGAUGGGGAAGCUCCUUAUGGAGCGAAGUCUUUGAUUCCCCGCUGCCAAGAAAAGCUUCUAGCGAGAUAAAAGGUGCCUGUACCGCAAACCGACACAGGUAGGCGAGGAGAGAAUCCUAAGGUGUGCGAGAGAACUCUGGUUAAGGAACUCGGCAAAAUGACCCCGUAACUUCGGGAGAAGGGGUGCUUUCUUAACGGAAAGCCGCAGUGAAUAGGCCCAAGCGACUGUUUAGCAAAACACAGCUCUCUGCGAAGCCGUAAGGCGAAGUAUAGGGGGUGACACCUGCCCGGUGCUGGAAGGUUAAGGAGAGGGGUUAGCGUAAGCGAAGCUCUGAACUGAAGCCCCAGUAAACGGCGGCCGUAACUAUAACGGUCCUAAGGUAGCGAAAUUCCUUGUCGGGUAAGUUCCGACCCGCACGAAAGGUGUAACGAUUUGGGCACUGUCUCAACCAGAGACUCGGUGAAAUUAUAGUACCUGUGAAGAUGCAGGUUACCCGCGACAGGACGGAAAGACCCCGUGGAGCUUUACUGUAGCCUGAUAUUGAAUUUUGGUACAGUUUGUACAGGAUAGGCGGGAGCCAUUGAAACCGGAGCGCUAGCUUCGGUGGAGGCGCUGGUGGGAUACCGCCCUGACUGUAUUGAAAUUCUAACCUACGGGUCUUAUCGACCCGGGAGACAGUGUCAGGUGGGCAGUUUGACUGGGGCGGUCGCCUCCUAAAGUGUAACGGAGGCGCCCAAAGGUUCCCUCAGAAUGGUUGGAAAUCAUUCGUAGAGUGCAAAGGCAUAAGGGAGCUUGACUGCGAGACCUACAAGUCGAGCAGGGACGAAAGUCGGGCUUAGUGAUCCGGUGGUUCCGCAUGGAAGGGCCAUCGCUCAACGGAUAAAAGCUACCCCGGGGAUAACAGGCUUAUCUCCCCCAAGAGUCCACAUCGACGGGGAGGUUUGGCACCUCGAUGUCGGCUCAUCGCAUCCUGGGGCUGUAGUCGGUCCCAAGGGUUGGGCUGUUCGCCCAUUAAAGCGGUACGCGAGCUGGGUUCAGAACGUCGUGAGACAGUUCGGUCCCUAUCCGUCGUGGGCGUAGGAAAUUUGAGAGGAGCUGUCCUUAGUACGAGAGGACCGGGAUGGACGCACCGCUGGUGUACCAGUUGUUCUGCCAAGGGCAUAGCUGGGUAGCUAUGUGCGGAAGGGAUAAGUGCUGAAAGCAUCUAAGCAUGAAGCCCCCCUCAAGAUGAGAUUUCCCAUAGCGUAAGCUAGUAAGAUCCCUGAAAGAUGAUCAGGUUGAUAGGUUCGAGGUGGAAGCAUGGUGACAUGUGGAGCUGACGAAUACUAAUAGAUCGAGGACUUAACCAU